rnacentral:misc_RNA from 1 species
AGGCUCGGCCGAUCCUCCCACCCUUUGUGUACCCACCUCUGUUGCUUUGGCGGGCCGCGGUCCUCCGCGGCCGCCCUCCGUCCGGGGGGUGGCCAGCGCCCGCCAGAGGACCAUCAAACUCCGGUCAGUGAACGUUGCCGUCUGAAAACAAUCAAUAAACUAAAACUUUCAACAACGGAUCUCUUGGUUCUGGCAUCGAUGAAGAACGCAGCGAAAUGCGAUAAGUAAUGUGAAUUGCAGAAUUCAGUGAAUCAUCGAAUCUUUGAACGCACAUUGCGCCCCUCGGUAUUCCGAGGGGCAUGCCUGUUCGAGCGUCAUUACAACCCUCAAGCUCUGCUUGGUGUUGGGCACCGCCCUUCCGCGGGCGCGCCUCGAAGACCUCGGCGGUGGCGUCUUGCCUCGAGCGUAGUAAAAACACCUCGCUCUGGAGCGCACGGCGCCGCCCGCCGGCCGAACCUUUUGAACUUUCUCCAGGUUGACCUCGGGAUCAGGUAGGGAUACCCGCUGAACUUAAACAUAUCAAUAAGCGGAGGAUUCGUAGGGGAACUUGCGGGAAGGAUCAUUACCGAGUAUUCGGGCUCCGGCCCGAUCCUCCCCACCCUUUGUGUACCCACCUCUGUUGCUUUGCCGGGCCGCGGUCCUCCGCGGCCGCCCUCCGUCCCGGGGGGUGGCCAGCGCCCGCCAGAGGACCAUCAAACUCCGGUCAGUGAACGUUGCCGUCUGAAAAACAAUCAAUAAACUAAAACUUUCAACAACGGAUCUCUUGGUUCUGGCAUCGAUGAAGAACGCAGCGAAAUGCGAUAAGUAAUGUGAAUUGCAGAAUUCAGUGAAUCAUCGAAUCUUUGAACGCACAUUGCGCCCCUCGGUAUUCCGAGGGGCAUGCCUGUUCGAGCGUCAUUACAACCCUCAAGCUCUGCUUGGUGUUGGGCACCGCCCUUCCGCGGGCGCGCCUCGAAGACCUCGGCGGUGGCGUCUUGCCUCGAGCGUAGUAGAAAACACCUCGCUCUGGAGCGCACGGCGCCGCCCGCCGGCCGACACCUUUGAACUUUCAAGGUGACCUCGG